rnacentral:rRNA from 1 species
AUUGAACGCUGGCGGCAGGCCUAACACAUGCAAGUCGAACGAGUGGCGGACGGGUGAGUAAUGUCUGGGAAACUGCCUGAUGGAGGGGGAUAACUACUGGAAACGGUAGCUAAUACCGCAUACCAUCGGAUGUGCCCAGAUGGGAUUAGCUAGUAGGUGGGGUAAAGGCUCACCUAGGCGACGAUCCCUAGCUGGUCUGAGAGGAUGACCCGGCACACUGGGACUGGGGACAGGUCCAGAAUCCUAAGGGAGGGAGGAGGGGGGAAUAAUGGAAAAUGGGGAAAAGGCUGAUGGAGCCAUGCCGGGUGUAUGAAGAAGGGCUUAGGGUUGUAAAGUACUUUCAGCGGGGAGGCGUUACCCGCAGAAGAAGCACCGGCUAACUCCGUGCCAGCAGCCGCGGUAAUUC